CAUAGGUUAAUGAGGCGAACCGGGGGAACUGAAACAUCUAAGUACCCCGAGGAAAAGAAAUCAACCGAGAUUCCCCCAGUAGCGGCGAGCGAACGGGGAGGAGCCCAGAGCCUGAAUCAGUGUGUGUGUUAGUGGAAGCGUCUGGAAAGGCGCGCGAUACAGGGUGACAGCCCCGUACACAAAAAUGCACAUACUGUGAGCUCGAUGAGUAGGGCGGGACACGUGGUAUCCUGUCUGAAUAUGGGGGGACCAUCCUCCAAGGCUAAAUACUCCUGACUGACCGAUAGUGAACCAGUACCGUGAGGGAAAGGCGAAAAGAACCCCGGCGAGGGGAGUGAAAAAGAACCUGAAACCGUGUACGUACAAGCAGUGGGAGCCUCUUAAUGGGGUGACUGCGUACCUUUUGUAUAAUGGGUCAGCGACUUAUAUUCUGUAGCAAGGUUAACCGAAUAGGGGAGCCGAAGGGAAACCGAGUCUUAACUGGGCGUUAAGUUGCAGGGUAUAGACCCGAAACCCGGUGAUCUAGCCAUGGGCAGGUUGAAGGUUGGGUAACACUAACUGGAGGACCGAACCGACUAAUGUUGAAAAAUUAGCGGAUGACUUGUGGCUGGGGGUGAAAGGCCAAUCAAACCGGGAGAUAGCUGGUUCUCCCCGAAAGCUAUUUAGGUAGCGCCUCGUGAAUUCAUCUCCGGGGGUAGAGCACUGUUUCGGCAAGGGGGUCAUCCCGACUUACCAACCCGAUGCAAACUGCGAAUACCGGAGAAUGUUAUCACGGGAGACACACGGCGGGUGCUAACGUCCGUCGUGAAGAGGGAAACAACCCAGACCGCCAGCUAAGGUCCCAAAGUCAUGGUUAAGUGGGAAACGAUGUGGGAAGGCCCAGACAGCCAGGAUGUUGGCUUAGAAGCAGCCAUCAUUUAAAGAAAGCGUAAUAGCUCACUGGUCGAGUCGGCCUGCGCGGAAGAUGUAACGGGGCUAAACCAUGCACCGAAGCUGCGGCAGCGACACUAUGUGUUGUUGGGUAGGGGAGCGUUCUGUAAGCCUGUGAAGGUGUACUGUGAGGUAUGCUGGAGGUAUCAGAAGUGCGAAUGCUGACAUAAGUAACGAUAAAGCGGGUGAAAAGC
rnacentral:rRNA from 1 species